GAUGAACGCUGGCGGCGUGCCUAAUACAUGCAAGUCGAGCGAACAGACGAUGAUCUUGCUCCUCGGACGUUAGGCGCGGACGGGUGAAUAACACGUGUAUAACCUACCUGUAAUACGGGUAUAACUUCGGGAAACCGGAUCUAAUACCGUAUAAUAUAUUGAACCGCAUUGUUCGAUAGUGAAAGACGGUUUUGCGGGCACUUAUAGCGGGUUCCGGGCCUUAUGAGCUAGUUGUUAAGGUAAAGGCUUACGAAGGCAAGGAUGCGUAAGCGACCUGAUAGGGUGAUAGGCCACCUUGGAGCUGAGCCGCGGUCCAGAGUCCUACGGGAGGCAGCAGUAGGGAAUCUUACGCAAUGGGCGAAAGCUUGACGGAGCAACGCGGAGUGAGUGACGACAGUGCUCGGAUCGUAAUAACGUGUUACGAGGGAAGAACCAAUGUGUAAGUAAAUAUGCCCGUAUUGACGGUAACGGGUAAGAAAGCAACGGCUAACUACGUG
rnacentral:rRNA from 1 species